CGCCGUCCUGACGGUGCCCUAAUGUCUAUCACUUAGCUACCGGAUAUGCAUCGGUAGCCCAUAAGGUUCUGGGGUAAGUCUUCCCCAUUAGACAGGCGCAGACCCGGGGUCAAAUCCCCUGGUCGACAACCACACGAGUUGGGAGAGGACCGUUUCCUCAACACGUCCCCUCGGGCCGUAUCCCAACGAGUACCAAGUUCAUCUGCACACUUCACACAAGGCCCAU
rnacentral:lncRNA from 1 species